UAACAUACAGGGACAAUUUAGAGCAGGUAACUAAAAACAGACAAAGGUUGUUUAGCUCAGACAUGCUUGGUAGGUAGCAGACCUCAAAGCUGUCGGAGAACCUGCUGAGAAUGGCAUUUGAAAUGCUUUAACUCACCAUGACAGAGGCUCCCUAAUCCUAGCAGUGACCCCUUCAAGGCCUCCAAGAGGAUGUGGGCAUCGUGACCAAGGACUCCACCUGGACUGGGGUGCACUGAUGACUGGGCAUUACUGCCCCAAUGCCUCAUCCACUGCCAGGACCCUGCCCAAACCGUGGACAAAUGGGGCAGAGGACAGGCCUUCUGUUGCUUAUGAUAGAGUCAGGUCGUUCUCCCGAGUUUCUCCAGGAAGAGCAGGGUUGCCAGGCCUGGCAGUCAACGCUGACCUUGUGGUGGGACCUUGGUCCCCAGUGAAGCCAUCGACAACACAGCAUCCCAGUCGGGCAGGCAUCAGGGUAACCGGUCAAUCUCUUCCAUUAAUUGAUACGUAGGCCUGUGAAUUAUCCUCUUGCUCAGUCAGGUAAAAUCCACUCUUCUCAGGUCUGAAGGGUUUAACGACAGACGAGUGAAAGAAACAACUUUCUUCUAUUCCUUUACCUAAAGACACUCACUUUCCCAUAACGGACCCCGGUUAUCCACCAUCCGCGUCUCACGGUGAACAGCCAGAUAGGAGGAAAGGGUACAGUUUAAAUUUCAUGCAAGGUCUAAGGAUACGAAAGCUCUCAGGAAGUGUUUUUGGCCCUAAGGUGUUUUAAGGUUGGUAAACGCACGUUACAAGUGUUAGAGGAUGGAAUAAAAAGUGUGGAAAAGACUGAAAAACCCUACCUGUUCCUUCCCCGCACUGUGGUCCGGGUGCAGUGAAGCUCUCUGUGUUCGCUCCAGUGCAGCCCUUCAGACUCCAGUACAGCUGCUCAGUCUCCAGUGCGUCCCCUCAGUUUCCAGUGCAGCGGCUCAGGCUCCACUACAGCUCCUCUUCCCCAUCAGGGCUGGAACUUUCCUCAUUGAGGUUAAGUAGGAGGAUUGCAGAUGGAGGAAGGCACUGUCUCUGGCGGAUCCGGUCCUGCUUUUCUCUGUUUCUAAGGACAUUUCACAGACUUUCAUACACUGCCUUCCAGGGCACUGCAUGCAGUUUGUCAAAAACCUAAAACCCUGACAGCCCGACCUCUCCUACUAACAAAGGGUUGACUACAAAUCACUGAAUGUAAAUUAUUGGGCCUCAUGGACAUCAGCAUGGGACCCACACAAAGAAACGACCUCGUAACUGUACCGUGGCUACACCACCCCUGAGUCUAUUAUAGACCCAAAGGCUAAGUCGGGGCACCACAGAGACGUUUGCACAUCUGUGUUUAUUUCCACAAUAGUCAGGAAGUGGAAUCAGCCCAGAUGCUCGACAGAUGCACAGAUAAAGAAACUAUGCUUCAAAUGUAAUGGAAGUUUAUUCAGCCAUAAAAAGAGCGAAAUUGUGAAAGAUCUAUGCAGGAAAAUGGUGCCAAAUUGAGAUCAUGUUAAAUGAAAUAAGUCAGACUCAGAAAUACAAAUAUUGCAUUUUUCUUUUCUAUGCAUAAUCUACAUUUCAACCAAAAGACAUGGAAGAGGAAGGGCCGAUGUGGGGAGGAAGGCUGGACAGGUAGUAGGUGGGCAAUUACUGUUAGUGUAUGUAAUGGCUAUUCCUGGAUGUCAACUUGACUAUAUCUGAAUUAACGACAAUCUAGACUUACAGGGCUCACCUGUGAUCCAGACCUUGUGGCUUGAAAACACACCUUUAAUCAGGUUAUACCUUCACCUGUAGACAGACACGGGACAUUGGAAGAAGAAAGAUUCCCCUUUCACCUGCUUGAACAGUAUAACAGCACAUCCGCUCCUUCUACUGAAUACCCCGGAAACAACAAGCCUCCUGGUACCGACCAAGUACAAGAUUCUUAGAUUUCCAACUCAUAGCUGACCAACAUUUAGAGCUGGACUACAGAAUUAACAGAAAAAAGAUUUGCACGUGAAGCAUGGUUUCUGCCUUCAGACUAGAACGGGAGGAACAGUUUACUGUGUAGCCUGCACAGUGAAACAGGAUAGGCAAUAACUAGACCACAGACUAAAUGUAAGGGAGUCAGCUGCAGAACCACCACUAUGAAGAAAGACCUGAUUCAAGCAGGGCAUAAAAGAAGUCAUACUGG
rnacentral:sRNA from 1 species